rnacentral:antisense_RNA from 1 species
CCCAAUGGGCGGGCCUUGGCAGGGGUGCGCUAGCCGCACGCCGGUUUCCGACGAUUCCGGUCUUCCAACCUUGUCCUGUGCCCGCCCACCCCA